CCUCUGAAGGGACUUCCACAGUUGCUGCAGGGAGGAGGGCAUAUCCUGGAGCAUGAGACUGGCUAUGGGGCUCUGUCUUAGCCUGGUUUCUUUCUGUACAAUGAUAUACCACAUAGAAAACUAGUUAAGCAUAAAAUGUUUAUUUGACUUGUGAUUCUAGAAGCCGGGAGCCCCAAGAGCAUGGUGCUGGCAACUGGAAAGGGUCUUCUUGCCUUGUCUUAACAUGGCAGACGGCACAUGGAGAGACCAGAGAGUCAGCACAAGUGUGCUAGCUCAGGUAGGCUCACUGGUGCACACCCCUACUUCCAGCCAUUCAGGAGGCUGAGGCUGAGGCUGAGGAAGUGCUUGGGUCCAGGAGGUCUGGACUAUAGGAUGCUAUGCUGUGAGACAUCUCAUCUUGCCUAGGGAAGGAGCAAACCAGCAGAGUUCAUUACAGCCACGUUUGUGGACUCUGCUCUCUCAUCUCUCCCUCCCAGUUUGGCUUCCUACCUCUGUCUUCGCGGCUUCCAGCUCUUUAGGAUGUGUGAAGACUCAGACACCAUCAGCACUGAAGUAGACAUCGGUAGAUCCCCGUGCCUAGCUCAGCUUCAGGACAAGGCGAGAGAUGCGAUGUUUCCCUUGCCAUUGGAAAAGACAAUUCCAAAUUAGUCUCCUUGUCAAGCCCUUUACUCACUGACCUCUCCUCACAACAACAACAACAACAACAACAAAGGCAUUCAAUCAGAGAGCUGGGCUUCCAACCAAGCCUGUGAAGAAUCUUCCCCUUGCUUCCCCCUUUGCGUCUCUCAGAAACCUUUGGGCCACCACAGGAAGGACAUAAAAUGACUUCAUCUCACCAUUUCCAAAUGCCUCUCCUGAGUUAUGGCUUUGUCAGUACAAUCAUUUGUC